rnacentral:rRNA from 1 species
AGCAGUAGCCACGGUAAUACGGAGGGUGCAAGCGUUAAUCGGAAUUACUGGGCGUAAAGCGCACGCAGGCGGUCUGUUAAGUCAGAUGUGAAAUCCCCGGGCUCAACCCGGGAACUGCAUUUGAAACUGGCAGGCUUGAGUCUUGUAGAGGGGGGUAGAAUUCCAGGUGUAGCGGUGAAAUGCGUAGAGAUCUGGAGGAAUACCGGUGGCGAAGGCGGCCCCCUGGACAAAGACUGACGCUCAGGUGCGAAAGCGUGGGGAGCAAACAGGAUUAGAUACCCGCGUAGUCCCUGUCUCUUAUAC